CGCUAGCGGCAGGCCUAACACAUGCAAGUCGAACGGUAACAUUUUCUAGCUUGCUAGAAGAUGACGAGUGGCGCACGGGUGAGUAACGCGUAUACAAUCUACCUUUUACAGGGGGAUAGCCUUUAGAAAUGAAGAUUAAUAUCCCAUAGUAAGUAGUUUUGGCAUCAGAACAACUUUAAAGUUUCGGCGGUAAAAGAUGAGUAUGCGUUCUAUUAGCUAGAUGGUGUGGUAACGGCACACCAUGGCAACGAUAGAUAGGGGCCCUGAGAGGGG
rnacentral:rRNA from 1 species